UACGGGAGGCGACAGUAAGGAAUAUUGGUCAAUGGGCGGGAGCCUGAACCAGCCAUGCCGCGUGGCAGGGGGACUGCCCUACGGGUUGUAAACUGCUUUUGCGCGGGAACAAACCCCACCACGUGUGGUGGGCUGAGCGUACCGCGAGAAUAAGCACCGGCUAACUCCGUGCCAGCAGCCGCGGUAAUA
rnacentral:rRNA from 1 species